GGUAACAAAUGCCUUCAGUUCCAUUCAAACUUACUUUCCAACAGGAUUGAGAAGCAGCACUUUUCACUUUAAGGCAGAGCUACACAUGUGAGGACUCGAGAAGCUGAAAACCAAGAUCCUAUGGAAGCUGGAGGAGCUGCAGGCCCAGCUGCUGCCCAUGCCCACAAGAACCUGACAAUGCUGAUAUUAUAACUCAGAAGCUCUCUUCAUUCAGCUAUUCUGUGAGACCCCCAUGGUAAAAUCAAGGCAAACUUGCUCAGAGGCAGAGGAGCACUGACCACACGACAUGGAAUGAGGACACGGGUAACUUCUAUGCUUGUCCUUCCCCAGCUGGAUCUUAUCCAUCAGCUUGCUCACAAUUCCCAGCCAGAUUGUCUCCUUGUUUUAAAUAACUAUUUGUUGAGUGCUUAAUGUGUUCCAGGAAUUGUUUUUUGCGGGCUCUGGAAAUUUUAGGGAAACACGUGUCAAAUCAGGAACAAGUCAUUCUGCUCUUGACGAAAGGCAAGGUAGUUUUGUCAAUAAGCUCAAUAGCAGUGAUUGGCGUCCCUGUGUCAAUUGACCCACUCCAC